rnacentral:lncRNA from 1 species
GUGCUUACGCUAAGUUUAGGUGUGGAGUAGCGCCAAUCCGCGUCGAGACCGGGAGAUACGAGAACCUAAGAUUGCUAGAACGAACUUGCUUUUGCUGUCCUGAUUCCAUUGAAAACGAAGAACAUGUACUUUUAUUUUGCCCACUGUAUGAUGAUAUUAGGGACAGUUGUUUUAAUACUUUAAAUAUUGAUGGUUUUGAUAAUUUUUCUAGUCAAGAUAAGCUAUCUGUGAUUCUAGGUGGUGUUAACAAUAUACGUUUGUGUGCCAAAACCUGCAGAGACAUUUUAGAUAGGAGACGUAGAUUUUUAUAUACAUGUAGAUAGUUUUGUAUUUGCUUGUUUUUUAUUUUUUUAUUUUUUAAUAUUCUUAAAUUUUUAUUUUCUUUUUAAUUUUUAAUUUAUUUUUUUUUUAAAUUUUUUUUAGUAUAUAUAUAUAUUUAAUGUUUUAAGCGGUGUGAAAUUUGUUUGGAAUGUGUAAAUAAUCGUCUCUCAUAAUUCUAUAUGAAUGGCUUUUACAUAUGUGUAAUUUGUUUUAAUCAAUGUGUUAUGUAUUGCUUUGUAAAAGGUGAGACGUUAAUAAAAUAUUGUAUUGUA